GACGAACGCUGGCGGCGUGCUUAACACAUGCAAGUCGAACGAAGUGGCGAACUGGUGAGUAAUACGUGGGUAACCUGCCCUCCUUUUUGGGAUAAGCCUUGGAAACGGGGUCUAAUACCGAAUAAAGGGGGAUGGGCUCGCGGCCUAUCAGCUUGUUGGUGGGGUGAUGGCAUACAAAGGCGGGGACGGGUAGCCAGCCUGAGAGGGUGACCGGCCACAUUGGGACGGAGCUACGGCCCAGACUCCUACGGGGGGCGGCAGUGGGGGAUAGUGCGCAGUGGUCGAAAGCCUUAUGUAGCGACGCCGAGUGGGGGAUGACGGCCUUCGGGUUGUAAACCGCUUUCAGCCAUGACGCGGUAGUGGCAGAAGAAGCACCGGCUAACUACGUGCCAGCAGCCGCGGUAAUUC
rnacentral:rRNA from 1 species